rnacentral:rRNA from 1 species
GACGAACGCUGGCGGCGUGCUUAACACAUGCAAGUCGAACGGAAAGGCCCUGCUUUUGUGGGGUGCUCGAGUGGCGAACGGGUGAGUAACACGUGAGUAACCUGCCCUUGACUUUGGGAUAACUUCAGGAAACUGGGGCUAAUACCGGAUAGGAGCUCCUGCUGCAUGGUGGGGGUUGGAAAGUUUCGGCGGUUGGGGAUGGACUCGCGGCUUAUCAGCUUGUUGGUGGGGUAGUGGCUUACCAAGGCUUUGACGGGUAGCCGGCCUGAGAGGGUGACCGGCCACAUUGGGACUGAGAUACGGCCCAGACUCCUACGGGGGGCAGCAGUGGGGAAUAUUGCACAAUGGGCGGAAGCCUGAUGCAGCAACGCCGCGUGCGGGAUGACGGCCUUCGGGUUGUAAACCGCUUUCGCCUGGGACGAAGCGUGAGUGACGGUAAUGGGUAAAGAAGCACCGGCUAACUACGUG